UGCAGUCGACGAACUCUGGUAUUGAUUGGUGCUUGCAUCAUGAUUUACAUUUGAGUGAGUGGCGAACUGGUGAGUAACACGUGGGAAACCUGCCCAGAAGCGGGGGAUAACACCUGGAAACAGAUGCUAAUACCGCAUAACAACUUGGACCGCAUGGUCCGAGUUUGAAAGAUGGCUUCGGCUAUCACUUUUGGAUGGUCCCGCGGCGUAUUAGCUAGAUGGUGGGGUAACGGCUCACCAUGGCAAUGAUACGUAGCCGACCUGAGAGGGUAAUCGGCCACAUUGGGACUGAGACACGGCCCAAACUCCUACGGGAGGCAGCAGUAGGGAAUCUUCCACAAUGGACGAAAGUCUGAUGGAGCAACGCCGCGUGAGUGAAGAAGGGUUUCGGCUCGUAAAACUCUGUUGUUAAAGAAGAACAUAUCUGAGAGUAACUGUUCAGGUAUUGACGGUAUUUAACCAGAAAGCCACGGCUAACUACGUGCCAGCAGCCGCGGUAAUACGUAGGUGGCAAGCGUUGUCCGGAUUUAUUGGGCGUAAAGCGAGCGCAGGCGGUUUUUUAAGUCUGAUGUGAAAGCCUUCGGCUCAACCGAAGAAGUGCAUCGGAAACUGGGAAACUUGAGUGCAGAAGAGGACAGUGGAACUCCAUGUGUAGCGGUGAAAUGCGUAGAUAUAUGGAAGAACACCAGUGGCGAAGGCGGCUGUCUGGUCUGUAACUGACGCUGAGGCUCGAAAGUAUGGGUAGCAAACAGGAUUAGAUACCCUGGUAGUCCAUACCGUAAACGAUGAAUGCUAAGUGUUGGAGGGUUUCCGCCCUUCAGUGCUGCAGCUAACGCAUUAAGCAUUCCGCCUGGGGAGUACGGCCGCAAGGCUGAAACUCAAAGGAAUUGACGGGGGCCCGCACAAGCGGUGGAGCAUGUGGUUUAAUUCGAAGCUACGCGAAGAACCUUACCAGGUCUUGACAUACUAUGCAAAUCUAAGAGAUUAGACGUUCCCUUCGGGGACAUGGAUACAGGUGGUGCAUGGUUGUCGUCAGCUCGUGUCGUGAGAUGUUGGGUUAAGUCCCGCAACGAGCGCAACCCUUAUUAUCAGUUGCCAGCAUUAAGUUGGGCACUCUGGUGAGACUGCCGGUGACAAACCGGAGGAAGGUGGGGAUGACGUCAAAUCAUCAUGCCCCUUAUGACCUGGGCUACACACGUGCUACAAUGGAUGGUACAACGAGUUGCGAACUCGCGAGAGUAAGCUAAUCUCUUAAAGCCAUUCUCAGUUCGGAUUGUAGGCUGCAACUCGCCUACAUGAAGUCGGAAUCGCUAGUAAUCGCGGAUCAGCAUGCCGCGGUGAAUACGUUCCCGGGCCUUGUACACACCGCCCGUCACACCAUGAGAGUUUGUAACACCCAAAGUCGGUGGGGUAACCUUUUAGGAACCAG
rnacentral:rRNA from 1 species